GCUUAGAGAGGGGUCAAUGUCCUAUCAGCUAGUUGGUAGGGUAAUGGCCUACCAAGGCUAAGACGGGUAGCCGGCCUGAGAGGGUGGUCGGCCACACUGGGACUGAGACACUGCCCAGACUCCUACGGGAGGCUGCAGUCGAGAAUCUUUCGCAAUGCCCGAAAGGGUGACGAAGCGACGCCGCGUGUGGGAAGAAGGCCUUCGGGUUGUAAACCACUGUCGGGAGUUAAGAAAUGUAAGGGUGUUAAUAGCAUCCUUACUUGACUAAGGCUCCGGAGGAAGCCACGGCUAACUCUGUGCCAGCAGCCGCGGUAAUACAGAGGCGGCAAGCGUUGUUCGGAAUUAUUGGGCGUAAAGAGCACGUAGGCGGCCUUGUAAGUCAGUUGUGAAAGCCUUCUACUUAACGGAAGAACAGCAUCUGAUACUGCAAGGCUAGAGUACGGAAGGG
rnacentral:rRNA from 1 species